CUAGCGAGCCACCUCCCACCCGUGUUUACUGUACCUUAGUUGCUUCGGCGGGCCCGCCAUUCAUGGCCGCCGGGGGCUCUCAGCCCCGGGCCCGCGCCCGCCGGAGACACCACGAACUCUGUCUGAUCUAGUGAAGUCUGAGUUGAUUGUAUCGCAAUCAGUUAAAACUUUCAACAAUGGAUCUCUUGGUUCCGGCAUCGAUGAAGAACGCAGCGAAAUGCGAUAACUAGUGUGAAUUGCAGAAUUCCGUGAAUCAUCGAGUCUUUGAACGCACAUUGCGCCCCCUGGUAUUCCGGGGGGCAUGCCUGUCCGAGCGUCAUUGCUGCCCAUCAAGCACGGCUUGUGUGUUGGGUCGUCGUCCCCUCUCCGGGGGGGACGGGCCCCAAAGGCAGCGGCGGCACCGCGUCCGAUCCUCGAGCGUAUGGGGCUUUGUCACCCGCUCUGUAGGCCCGGCCGGCGCUUGCCGAACGCAAAUCAAUCUUUUUCCAGGUUGACCUCGGAUCAGGUAGGGAUACCCGCUGAACUUAAGCAUAUCAUAG
rnacentral:rRNA from 1 species